rfam:Cavia porcellus supercont2_2 genomic scaffold, whole genome shotgun sequence.
GGAAUUGAGAGUGAUCUGGCUGCAACAUCUGUCACCUCAUGGAUCCCCAGGGUUGCUUUGGCUGAUCUGGCUGGCUAGGUGGGUGCCCCCAUACUCCUUCAGUGCUCCAUGUGUGUCCUGAAGCUGUGUGCUCAGUUGAAGAGGAAGAUUGCUCCCCAGAGAGGAAACUGGGCUUCCCAGCUAGAACUUUCAAACAAGCUUUCAAGGAGAAGAACAAGUGGUUGUCCUAUCCUCUGGAUGACUGAGAAACAUGAGAGGUUUGUUUCUAGGU